rnacentral:rRNA from 1 species
UACAGGGGGUGCAAACGUUGCUCGGAAUUAUUGGGCGUAAAGCGCGCGUAGGCGGCUACUUAAGUCGGAUGUGAAAGCCCCUGGCUCAACUGGGGAAGUGCACCCGAAACUGAGUAGCUUGAGUGCAAAAGAGGGCCGCGGAAUUCCCGGUGUAGAGGUGAAAUUCGUAGAUAUCGGGAGGAACACCAGUGGCGAAGGCGGCGAUCUGGGCUGAUACUGACGCUGAGGUGCGAAAGCGUGGGGAGCAAACAGG